GAUACGGGAAUUUCAAAUCUUUCCACUACUCCCGAUUGAUAAAGGAGAGACAUAUCAUAUGUACAUUAGUACAAUCGGUGGUAUUACUAUAUUCAGUAUUUUAAGAGAUACCAUCCUCGUCUUACUUUCUUUUUCGAUUGUUCUUGAUCCAUGAAAUGGAGUAGAGUGAUCCUAUUUUACCGGGAGUACAUACACAAAUUGUAUUCGUUUAUUGUACGAUGGACAAUGAACUUAACAUAAUUACCUCGACAGAGUACUUUUCAGGUUAAACCACACCUUUUCUAGUUCUGACUUUGUUUGUGUAUCCUCAAUGACUAAUUGUAAACAAUCUAUCUCAUUCUCAUUCAAAUUGCAGACAUCAUUUUUGAUGUAUGCGUUCCAGUACAAAUAAAUACAAGAAAGAGGAUACUAAUAAAAUAAAAGAAAAGACCAAGCAAGGACCCUUUUCAGUAAAUUUGUUGGAAUAUUUGAUCUUUUUUAUUUAAUCCCCCCCUUUUUCCAUCUCACCUCGUUUGGGUCUGUGUGUGACCCAUAGAAUACCGGUCAUAUAAUACCUCAUAAUUGUAAGUAUAAUACACAGGAAGGAGAGUUGUAUAAGAUAAGGAAGACAGUAGGUUAUAGAAAAGAAAAGUGGAAGAGGAUGAAAAAUGCAAUGGGAUUCCUGAUCCAAUAAAAAAUCCCAUUUCAGAAUUGGUAUGGAUAAAGGAUCUUCCUAUGUUAUACUAUUCAAUUCUCGACGAUGAAUCGAUUUGAUAGAUCAGAUAUUGUUAUUCAUAAUAUUGAUCCGAUUCGGUAUCAUCAGGAUCAAUUCAUCCCAAUGAAUUUACAGGAGUUAAAUUUCUCAUCUCUAUGGGAUUACAUCCCGAGUUAUUGCGAAGAAAAAAAGAAAUAAUGAAAUUAUGGAAGUCAAUAUUCUCGCAUUUAUUGCUACUGCACUGUUCAUUCUAGUUCCUACUGCCUUUUUACUUAUUAUCUACGUAAAAACAGUCAGUCAAAAUGAUUAAUUUGAAUCUGAAUUAUUAGUUCUUAUCAAUCCUUUUUUCAAUGAUUGAAGAAAUGAAAGAAAGGGAUUAAAAGAAAAUUCCAAGUCUUAAAUGAAAUGAUCUGGUUGGAAUCAUAAAGAGUGGUAGAAAGGACUAUAUAUAGUCCUUUCUACCACUCUUUAGAGUAUUUUAUAUUAUCUAAUAUUGUAUACAAUGAUAUUAUCAUGUAUAGUUGUAUUGUAUACAGAUAUAGACUUUAUCUAAAUGGAGGGUUUAUAUAGAUCAAUUUACAAUAUGUAUGUAUAUGAUAUAUUAGAUGUACAUCUAAUAUAAAUAGUAGACUAGUACAUCGAAAUAGCAGUCUAAUUCUAUUUCUUUUUUUCGCUACAUCCACUCGAUUUCGAUCAACCCAAAAUAAUCUAAGGCCUAUUCUUCUAAUUCCUGGGUUUCUUAUAAUUUUAUAUAUAGGUUCCGGGAUCCAUCGAAAGAAUCAAUAGAGGAAGAAUAGUAUGGGAAUAUACUAUAGCAAAAGAAAACAAAACCAAGGAAUUUUUUUUUUUGAUUUCCCAUCCCAAGAAGUCAUUGAUUGAGCCAUUAACAGAUCAUUUACGAAGUUCUAUGGUAACUUCUUCAGAUUUUGAAAGGAAGUAGAUUAGUAAAGGGGACUCGGACCAUUUUUUAUGCUUAAACAUGACAUUAGAUGAGUCAAAAAAGCAUAAAAGAAUCUCUAGGAGUCUAAAAUGUUAAAUGUGUGAUAUGUGGUGGAUCGCUCAGCGGAAGAAAGAUCUAAUUUUAUUAUGUGUAGAACCUCUUUGGACAACCACUAGUCACUUCCAGUAGAAAGUAGGUAUCGUCGUAAUCUAAUAGCAGAACGAUUUGUUCUUAGAACAGUGAAAGUAAAGAAAGAGAGAAACAAAUAAAGAAAAAACUAGGGAUUGGUUUUUUCUCAUUGUAAUAUCCAUAAUUCUGGUAAGAACUGGUUUAUCCAAAUAGAAUAUUUAGGAGGAAUUCGGUUGGAAAAAAUUUCCUAUCAUGCGUAGAUUUGAGUUUUGAAAUACAACUAAACUAUAGUAAUCAUUCAUUGUUUGAUCGAAUGGUUAUUAUUCAUUAUUGUAUUUUUUUAUUCAUUAUUGUUUUUCCAGUAGAAUUUUGAAAGAGAGACAUUUUAAAAAUAAAGCUUCGCAAAACGAUCAAUUAAACAAUUGAUACAAUUCGAUUACUCAAUCGAUUACUCAAUCAAUUAUUAAUAUACCUAGAGUCCACUCCUUCCCCAUACUACGAGUGAAAGGGAAAAUGUAAAGACUACCAUUAAAGCAGCCCAAGCGAGACUUACUAUAUCCAUGUGAAUUAUAUCUCCUAUUUCUAUGAAGGAAUUAUUCCAUUAUUGAUCAAUAAUCAUAGUAGAAUCAAUGGCGCAGAGUCAAAAUAGGAUUCUGACUUAAGGCUAUUGAUAAACCAAUUCAAUGAAUCCGCUCGUAACAGAUUCUUUAUAGGAUUUCUGGUAGAAUUGGGAAGUAUUAAGUAAAAAUACGAUACACACACCUUUUCCUUGAAAAUAGCAAAGGAAUGCUCCUAAUGGAACAUGUGGGAAUAGUAAGACCUAUUGUUUGUUUUGUUACCCUUCUUUCAUAAGCAAAAAAUAUCAAAAAAAGAUAUACCAUCAAGAUAGAUAACUAUCUAUUGGAUACCUAUAUUUCCUAUUUGAUCUAAGCCUUACUGUCUUUCUUUCUGUGAAAGAAUGGGGAGACAUCACUACCAUUAUUACAUACAUUUUUUUUGUAAUCUCCCUACACGACCAAAGAAAUCUUUUUUUUCUUUACUUUGACUUUUACUCUGUUAUUCUAUAAGAUAAGAGCCGACCAACCAUCCUGAUUGAAUGUUUGAGUACUCGGAGUAUCUCGUAAGUAUGGAUACAAAGUAUCUUCAGUCCUUUCCACAACUCCUAAAUUGAUUUCCCAUCAGCCUAUCCAAUCUAAUUCCAGACAGAAUCAGUAGACCCUACGUUAGUGUAGGUAGUGUAAGAUAAUUAGGAAGUCUUGACAGUCUUUCAUAUAAUCUUUUCUUCAAUCCUAGGAGCAAAAAAGGAAUGUCCUUUAGGAACCUCUGGAUACCAAGAUUUCUGACCUCUUACUUUCGUAGUUCUGGAAUUAAUAAGUAAGCCUUACCUCAUCCCUAUUGGUAUAUCUGUUUGGGUUCUGGGUAGCGGCCCAAACAGAGCCAGAUUUUGAGAAAACAACUUACAGUCUUUUAUAGAACUAUGUAUUCUAUAAAUCAAGUAUCGACAAGCUCAGUCCUUUGCCUUUGCUUCUGCAGGGCAAGAAUUUGUCGAGUUCUAUUCUAUCAGUAGAAUAAGAAAUUCUAAGUAUUUUGUUGAUCAGGCGACACCCAGAUUUGAACUGGGGAUAAAGGAUUUGCAGUCCCCUGCCUUACCGCUUGGCCAUGCCGCCAAAUCCGAUCCAAAAUCGAUGAAAAUAUUAUUCAUCCACAUUUUAUUACUAAUUGUUUGUUUUUUCAGAGGGGGGAUUGCUGAACCCUUUUUUUCUUUUUUAUUUGUUUUUUGAUCUUGAAUCUCAUUGUGCUUAUCCCUUUUCAAUCUCUUUCCAAAAAUGAAUUCUUGUUUCUUAUGGGAUCACAGUUUAGGCAAUAACCGUAAAUGCACCAGAACAAUUGGAAAAUGUUCAAGUACCUCAAAGAGCUAGCUACAUCACAGUAAUUAUGCUGGAAAUGAACUGUACACCUUCUCAUUUGUUAUGGCUUGGGCCUUUUAUGGAAAAGAAAUUCCCCAGUCAAUAUUGUCGAAUGAUCAAAGUACAAAAAUGGACUCUCUCCUUGCCAGUCUACCUUAGAUGGUACUACAUCAAAGCUAUGGCCACCACUAUUGCAGAUACCAUAGCCACAACUGAUGCUUUGCUGACUAACUAUUUCCAUUUCACUAAACUCCCAUCAUUCACUAGUUGAUGUUGUGAACUCCUCUGUUCCUCCAUUCUCGAGCCUAAACUACUGAACCAUCAUCUUCUAUUCCCAUUGUUAUUGAACCACACCAUGCACCAGCAUGCCACUACCUAUCACUAAUAUGGAGUACAACAAAAUCAAAUGCCUGUCAUCAUACAACUACAUCAAGGGCUAUCAUAACCAUUUAACCAAAAUACUAGGACUUUUAACCGAUUCAUGAUCAUAUUUGCAAGUUUAUUAAAGUUCACAAGAGUAUAUAAGUAUAUCUAAACCCCAGAGACAAGGAUUAAAGUGCUGUGACACAGAGACCGAGUCGGGUCUCACUCUUAGGCACAGAUACAGCACAAGUAGAGGUGUAAACAAGCCGAACACGAGCGAGCUGGGGUCGGAUCGUAUUCGGCUAAUAUAUUAAACGAGCAGAAAAUGAGCUGGCUAAUUAAAAUAUAGAGCCGAAAAACUCAGCUCCUGUUCGGCUCGUUUAUUAACAAGCCGAACACGAGCUAGGUCACGAGCUGGCCAACGAACAAUAAAAUAAAAAGAUUAGAGUAAAUAGCUAUAUAAAAAAUAAACUUAAAAAAUACUAAUCCAUUUAUGAUUAUGCAAUUCAAUCCUAUUCUAUAAAUUAGACUACUACCAAAACAAAAGAAUCUUUGAAUUUUUUUUUUUUUUAACAUUAAAUUAAGUGUGCUAAAUCUAAAUAAAGUAAAGUAAAACUGGAUAGUGCUCCUGAUUAUUCUGUCUUUAUCUCAUUCAUAGAAAGCAGAUUUAAUCGUGAAUCUUUGGUACCCAAUCUGAUCGUAAUAUCAUAAUUAUAGGUAGAAAUUGGAUCAAUUUUGAUAUUGUAUUUAUAUUGUAUAUCUAUACAAGACUUCAUAAGUGUAAGUGACAGAAUUCUUUUCCAGGAAUGUUUUAUCAAUUCAUUUCCAUUCCAUUUGUACCUGUCGCAAAUUCGAACUUGCGUCAAAAAUGGUCUUCAUUCCUCCGUCUCGUUUCCGUUCAUACGUAUGAAAUACAUAUAUGGAGUUCACUAAAAUUUCAUGUGAUUCAGUAAACAGAAUAUACAUU
rnacentral:lncRNA from 1 species